GCUCGACCGCUGAGCCGCGCGGAGGGGUGCGACCGACUCGCCCUCUCAGCAGAGUUGCGAUACUGCCAGAGCCGGUGGUGUUUCCGGAGGCGGACGGACGCGACUCGGACCGCGGCGCAGCCCAUGACGGAGGAUGGAGAUAGAGAAGAGGGCGAACGGGUUCGAGUACCCGGAGCGGAGCAAUGCUAAAUCCGGCAACGGCUUUUAUGGUGACCAUCCUUUGGAGGCUGAACAGAACGAUAGCAUGGAUGUAUUCUGUUUUGCGAGGGUGAAACCAGGCACUGGAUUUUUCAAGACCCACUUCUGGUUCCCUCUGAUGUGAGGUCGGCUUGAAAUAUCUGUGAAAUUCCUUGGAAAACUGGAGGGUUUCUCUCUGCUAAGCUAGUUAAAGAGAAGAGGCACCCAGGCUGCUUUUUAUUGUUUGCCCAGACACUUUACGCUGUAAAUAAAUAA